rnacentral:lncRNA from 1 species
AGGAGGGGGCCAGCGCGCCCCGAGUGCUUGCGGGGCAGGGCGGGGCGAGGCAGCUGCGGGGAGGGGGGUCCAGAGGUCAUCUUGACCAGAACAAUCGGGUGAAACACUACUGACAUGAAAGGAUUUCUAUUUUACCGGACGGAAAUGUUAGGCUGGAACAUUCUCUGAGCCCGUCUCAUGGGGGGAAAGCGUGGCUCUGGGCGAACCGGAGUUCAUGCCACUCAACCACCAGAGAACCCACGCGACCCACGUGGGGCACAGCGUGGCUUGAAGUCCGGUCGAGUCACCACAGAGGGCCCAGGUGUCACCCAGGAUCAUUCAACCGGAAAAGAUCUGAUCAUCUCGCCAUCCGGCUCAGCCUCUAACGGGGCAUCAAGUAACUGGGAAGCCCGUGGGAUUGAAACUAGACCUGACAGCACAUCUCCAGAGCCUGCAGCCCACUCUGAACUCCGGGAACCACUGUGCACGAAGCACACAGCUUUUGUGUCCGUGAGCUGCUGCAGUCCCACAUCUGGUGGAGAGCCCCCACCUCUCCAGUCCUCAGGUGACCUCAUAGAGUCCAGGAUACGCGGUGACUUCCACAUCUGUCUCCAGCCUGGACCUCUUUUGAGACCUGACCAGGUGUUGAACUCGGCAUCACCACUGAUGUCAAACCUAACUCAGCGGAAGCGGAACUCAGUUCCCUGCACAUCCAGACAGCAUCCAGCCAAAUCGAGCAGCAGAUCCUCUCGCAACAGCACAAAUACACUCACUUCAUCCCAGCUCCUUCUGCCUCCUCUCGGCCUGCUAACACUGACCCGUGAAAUGGACCUCUGCUCCCACUUGGGCACCACUGCCAGCCGAUCUCUGCAGAGCACGUAUUUAAAAACACAAAUGGGGACGCCUAGGGGACUCAGUCGGUUGGGCGGCCAACUCCAUCUCAGCUUGUCUUGAUCUCAGGGUCAUGAGUUCAAGCCCUUCAUUGGGCUCUACGCGGGGCAUGGAGCCUACUUUAAAAAAAAGUUUUUUUUAAUAAAAAGUAAAAAAAAAAUACA